rnacentral:lncRNA from 1 species
ACUGUAUUUAGGAUAAGGAGACGGUCACGUAUAUAUGCUGCGAGGCGCCAGGCAGCAAAACUCUCGCUUUUAGUAGUUUUUCAAAGACACCCUUCAGGAAGCCAACAUGCCCAAAAGAAAGGGAGCCGAAGGUGACGCAAAGGAGGAGCCUCAGAGGAGAUCUGCACGGUUAUCUGCAAGGCCGGCUCCUCCCAAGCCUGAACCAAAACCAAAAAAGACAGCUAAGAAAGACAAAGCGGUUAAAGACAAGAAAGAGGACAAAAAGAGCAAGGCGAAGGCCAAGGAGUCCACAGAGCCAGAGGCCAAUGAGGAGAACCACUCAGAAAACAGAGAUGCCAAGGCCAAUGCGGUUGAGGAGACUCCUGAUGACGCCAAGGACGAAGCAAAAUCGGAGUAGCAUCACUGCCUCCCAUUGGCCCUCUCUUCCUUUCCACUUUCCCCUUGCCCCCCUUUUUUCUCUUUUUCCCCCCAAAACGCUCCCGGUCUCAUGUUAUUGCCCCUCUCUCUUCCAGGCAUAUUGUUAACAGAGGAAUAUUUUUAUCAAUGAUUUUAUAAGUAUCGAUACAGAUUUUUAGCACAAACUUAAAGCUAAACGCGGAGCACCUUGCAGAUUUGCAGUGGUCAUAUCAAGUGUCUGCGAGAUGAACACACUAAAAAAAAAAAAAAAAUCUUUUUUUUAAAUGGCAUUUCAUGAGUGUCGAUAGGUUGUUUGGUCUAGUAAGAGCAUACCUGCUUCUACAGUUUUGAGUGUUGUCCUGU